rnacentral:rRNA from 1 species
AACCAGCACCUCGAGUGGUCAGGAGGUUUAUUGGGCCUAAAGCAUCCGUCGCCGGUUGUUUAAGUUUUCGGUUAAAUCUAUGCGCUUAACGUAUAGGCUGCCGUAAAUACUGGACAGCUAGGGAGUGGGAGAGGGACACGGUACUCAAUAGGAAGCGGUAAAAUCCUUUGAUCUAUUGAUGACGACCUGUGGCGAAGGCGGUGGCCCAGAAAACGUCCGACGGUGAGGGAUGAAAGCUGGGGGAGCAAACCGG